GAUUCCUACGGGAGGCAGCAGUGGGGAAUAUUGCACAAUGGGGGAAACCCUGACGCAGCGACGCCGCGUGAGGGAUGAAGGUCUUCGGAUCGUAAACCUCUGUCAGCAGGGAAGAACGGUCACUGUGCUAAUCAGCAGUGAAUUGACGGUACCUGCAAAGGAAGCACCGGCUAACUCCGUGCCAGCAGCCGCGGUAAUACGGAGGGUGCGAGCGUUAAUCGGAAUUACUGGGCGUAAAGCGCUCGUAGGCGGUAUGUCCAGUC
rnacentral:rRNA from 1 species